CCUGGAGGCGAGCAUCAGAGGUGGGAGUACGGACAGAGGAUAGACGUAGGUCUUUGGCAUAAUGCCUUUAGUUUUACAUUACAAUUCAUGGCAACUGUAGUUUAUAAACAACUCCACAAAAAAAGUGUUUGCAAUUCCAAUUAUUCUUGGUUAGCUCUUUACCAUAAGGUUAGGCUGACCAUUGUGGAAAAAUCAAACUAACAAACAUCAAGAGUGUCUAAAGUUAGAAGAUGGUUGUGAACUAAAUUUCCAAUUAUGCACAGGGAUUGCAAGUCACUAUCAACUUCAGUGCUGGGAUUUUGUGAACGUUUGUUCAUCACAUUUCUCAUGAUACUCAGCAAAUUCUUAGGGUGGCUCUUAAAUAUUUGCAAUGUUUAAUGUGAGCCUAUUAGCUAACAAAUUCAUGAGUUAAAAUUCAUGCGACAUUCAUAUGCAGUGCCUUAUACAGCGAGGGGAAAAAAGUAUUUGAUCCCCUGCUGAUUUUGAAUGUUUGCCCACUGACAAAGAAAUGAUCAGUCUAUAAUUUUAAUGGUAGGUGUAUUUUAACAGUGAGAGACAGAAUAACAAAAAAAAUCCAGAAAAACGCAUGUCAAAAAAAGUUAUAAAUUGAUUUGCAUGUCAAUUAGUGAAAUAAGUAUUUAAUUCCCUAUCAAUCAGCAAGAUUUCUGGCAACCAGGUGUCUUUUAUACAGGUAACAAGCAGAGAUUUGGAGCACUCUCUUAUACACCUACCAUUAAAGUUAUAGACUGAUCAUUUCUUUGUCAUUGGGCAAACAUUAAAAGUCAGCAGUGGAUCAAAUACUUUUUCCCCUCACUGUAUAUGAAGAUCAUCUGCAGCAGAUAAAUGAAAACUGUUUCCUGUGAUGCCCUGAGAGUGUGGCUGGGUAUCAUUGAAAAUAUAUUCUGCAUUUUGUCAUACUCUGUCAGUUUCCCACUUGUAUAAGAACUAUAAAACAAAAAAAAAGUCUAUUUUUUCAGGGGUAUUCACUAACACCAGAUUUUGUUCAGAUGGACAAAUCCAGUGAAUCUGACUGAAUUCUGGCUGCAAUGGCAAUUCCAGGUGCAUACCUAGAGCAUUUGGAACCUGGGGCGGAUCCUGAGACUGGCACCUCCUCCCCCACACCACCACACACACACUUUAAAAUACAAAGAAUUUUUUUUUUUUUAACAUUUUCAAGAAUAUUUAUUGCACAAAAAUGUAAACCUGCACAAAAUACCUACCUCCCUUCUAAAAAACAACAACCUGCACUUCUCUUUCACAAAAAACCCUGCCCAACUCCCUUUCACAAAAAAACACUGUCCCCCACUUACACAAUAUACCUGUCCCCCUCUUCUAAAAAAACCCUGCCCCUCUACAAAAUCUUUCCAGCCCCCCUUUUACAAAACCCGUGCACCUCUGUUAUGGGCAAAUGAAAAUAUUGUAUUUCUCAAACUGUGUACUUUGUCUUUAAGAAAUAUUGCAAACUGACAAGGUGUUAGAAAUGGAACAUAUUGUUUUUCAUAUAUGUUUCUUUAAGCAAUAACCUUUUACCUACUUUUAGCACAUAAUAUGUUUACGCCAUUUUGUCCCAGAUUAAAUGCAAUAACAAUAAUACAUAAACAAGCUUCAAGGCUAUGCUAGAACUCUUUCAGUACAUAAUAUACUGCGGUAACCCUAAAUAGAUAAAGAUGUUCUGACUUUAAGAUGCCAUCCUAAGUCAGGGAAUUUCCCAUGAUGUGUGCACCCUUAUGUUUUAGUUAUGGCCUUGUAAUUUUGCCAGGUUAAGGGAGGUCCCUAGAAUGCACAAAAACAAAAGAAGUGUUACUUUUACAUAUAUAAACUCGGGUAAUGAAGACACCUAAGGUAUAAAUAGGUGUACUUUUAAAUAUUAGAGAACAGAGAGGAGAGAUUUGGAGACAGACGCUGCUCCAUAAUAUAAUGAGUGAGAGAGGCUGACAUGUUGACAUGUUCAGGAGGGUAUGUUAUUCUAGUUUAAUGAUAUUGCAAGCAUAUAGUUUAAUCUCAUAAACUCUGCUAUAAAUUAUUGUAAUAGAUUUUAUUUGUAUAUAUUUAUAUUUUUAUAUAAUAAAUAUCUAAAAAGACAAAACUUUAUUGCUUACAAGACAAUCCUUAUUUUAUACUGUAUUCUCAAUUAUUUAUAUAUUUUAAAUAGAGGAUCUCUUACUGACUAAAUAAAAUUAUUGCUAAGAUAUCUGUAUGGUUAGCAGUGCUAAGUUCUAUGCUUUAAAACAUUAUAGUGGUAAAUAGGGGAACCAGCUGCGGUUAAACCUCUCCUUCACAAAAAAAACCUGCCCCCACAUUCUUAACAAAGAUUUUAAAGCCCCAUUCUUCACACAAAACCCUGCCCCACCUUCUUCAAAAAAUGACCACCUUAUUCACAAAAACCCCAUGUACCCGUCUUCUUCACAAAAAAAGCAUCCAGCAUCAGGGAUUUUCCACCACGGUGCCUCACAUAGCAGCAAAGCGUAUCCUUUCGCUACUGCUCAAAAUACAAGCAGAGUACGUCAAUGUCACGUUGGCAUGUCGUAACAAAAUCAAAUAGCACACUGACCGCAGUCCACUCUUUCAAAUACCUGGGUAUGUUGUUAGAUCCCAAUCUAUCUUUUGGCAUCCACAUAGAAAAAAUUGCAUUUAAACCAUUCCAAAACUAGGUGCCCAGUACAGAAACAAAUCCUGCCUAAGUCCUACAGUAAAGGAAAAGAUUGUACAGCAAAUGCUGAUGCCAAUCAUUGGUGCUCCUCCUACCUCACCCAGGGCUCUUUCAGUGUUUCUUUCUCUGGCUCUGCUUCUUCCUCCCAACCUCUCUCUUUUGGUGUCCCCCUUGGUCCCCUACUGUUCUCAAUCUAUACUGCCUCCCUUGGUAAACUCAUCAGCUCCUUUGGCUUCCAAUAUCACUUCUAUGUGGAUGACAAGUAAAUCUAUCUGUCCUCCCCUGAUCUCUCCCAGCCCCUCUUGACUAGUGUCUCUGACUGCCUCUCUGCUAUUUCUAACUGGAUGGCUGACCACUUCCUUGAGCUCAACUUGUCCAAAACAGAACUUCUGGUCUUUCCUUCCUCAAGUGUUGCUAACCUUGUUUCUGUCUCCCUCCACGUUAAUGGUGCUACCAUCAGCUCCACCAUGCAGGCUCCCUGCCUAGGUGUUCUCUUUGACUCCAACCAUUCCUUCACCCCUCAUGUCCAGACGAUUGCCAAAUCCUGCCACAUCCAUCUUAAAAACAUUGUGCGAAUCCGCUACUUACCGCCAGAUGCGGCUAAGGUGCUGGUCCAUGCCACUGUCCUCUCUCGCCUUGACUACUGCAAUCCGCUUCUCAGUGGUCCUACAUGUUUCCAACUUGCCCCACUGCAGUCUAUAAUGAAUGUGGUGGUGAGGCUCAUCUUCCUGUACGCCCGCACCUCCCACGCCUCACCCCUCUGUCAGUCCCUACAUUGGCUUCCCGUAAGAUAUAGGGCUCAAUAUGAAAUUCAGGUUCUCCUACUUAUCUAUCCAACCUAAUACACAAAUAUGUCCCUUCUAGGCCCCUAUGCCCUGCCAAAGACCUGCGUUUAUCCUCUGUUCGUACUCCCACCUCUGAUGCUCGCCUUCAAGACUUCUUUAUGACUCCACUCCUUCAAAAAACAUUAAAAACUCACUUUUUCACAAAAGCAUGUCAAUUAAACUGUCCUCUCUACAUGUCAUGUAGACACAGAAUGCACCUGUCAUGGUUCAUUAGAUAUGUCUUACCAGUUCUAUGUUAUAUUUUGUAUAUAUUGUGUAUUAAUAUUGUUUUUGUAUUUUAUUGUACUCUAUUGUAUCAAUGCAAUGUUUUGUGAACCCAGGAAAUAAUUGAAAAUGAGAGAAAUCUCAAUGUAUCCUUCCUGGUAAAAUAUUUUAUAAAUAAAUAAAUAACACAAAAAUCUACAUCCUCAUAUAAAUACCAACACUAGAUACACCACUGCAUUCAAACAUAUUCCUGUAUUUAAACACAAACAACUACACACAAGUACACAACUGCAUUCCAAUGGAAACAGUACAUACAAAUACACCCAUACAUACCCAUACACCCAGUACAUACAUGCAUAGACAUACGCUAUACAAAAGCAUGACUACAUUUAAAUGCACAAACACUGCUCACAAAUACAAUUUUACAAGAAUAGGUAAAUGGUAGAUCCCUGGCUGGCAUAGCAUUGUUGGAGUUGUACAACAGAUGGGCAUCUAUCUUUUCACCACUCUUGCACUAGAGGGAGGCCCAAAAAAUGUUCUUGCACCAGGGCCCACUCCUGUUUUAGUUCCGCCACUGAGUAGGACAGUAGGGCGGCAUCAAAGGAUCCCAGGCACCGUAUCCACUUCAGUGAGACAAAGUUAAUAUGGUUUGUGUAUAUAUAUACAAACUCAACUAGUAUAAUUUUUUAUUCUCCUUCCAUUCUAUUGGUCACCUAGGGGAUAAUUCUGCAUACUACUGCAUACUAACGACAGUAGUAAUGAGGCACCUGUAAGCUAGGAAGGAAUACUGAAAUAAAGGGGAGUAAAGUUACGCAAACAAUCGAUCUGUAAAGCUAGAUAAAAAGACAUCUCGAAUUUAGAUUAUUUUCAAAUUGCUAUUCUACUCUGAAUAAUGCUUCACUUAAUUGUCAGCUAGGAAAUAGAUAACAUUUGCUCUGCUUAAUAUUAGCCAUAUAUACAUAUAUUUGUUGAUUUGUUUGCACCAUAAAGAACCGUGGUUAUAUCAUUGCAUUGUGCCCAUUGCAUGCACACAGGGACUGCAAGAGAGAGAUGAACGAAUCCGAAAGCUGCGUGAAGAAAAUCUUGGGCUUGAGAAAGCAUUACGAGAACAGACCGACGAAAAGACAGCACAACUGGAGGAGCUAAAAGGGAAGCUGCAAAGACAGAUUGCGAGGAAGGACAAAGUCGAAUUGCUCCUUGAAGAGAGAGAAUCUGAACUGGAAGAUGUGAGGAAGGCUUACAGGUGAUUAACCGGCCUCUAGAGCAGAGGUUUUAGCAAAUAGAGCUUGUGCUGUUUGAAGUUGAAUCUCGGCUAAUUUGAGGCAUUUACUCUUUCUAUUCUUAGUGCAAUGAAUAUGAAGUGGCAGGAUAAAGCGGAAUUACUAAACCAGCUUGAAACGCAAGUCAGGAAGAUGAAAGAGAAUUUUGAUGCCAAGGAAAAUAAGUUGAUUGAAGAGAGAGACAAAAGCAUCCAAACUCAGCAAGUAAAAGCUCAAUUUGUUUUAAGAAACUUUUAUUUUCUAUCCCACCCUUCUCCUCUUUAUCGCAUUUAUAUCUGCCAAACCAGCGUUUAUAAGAGUAUUCCCUUACUUUAACACUUGCACUAUGUACAUGCAUUAUCGUGUGUGUGUAUGUUUAAAACUUGUGCCCUUUCCCCCCUCCCCCAAAAAAGUAUACUAAAACAGAAACAAUGGUGCUGUUCUAAAUAGACUAGUAAAUUCUUAUUGAAGAGAGUCAGGGACAAGAUGCAGUUCUCAUACGAGUGGAAAUAUGCCUUCUAAUGGAAAAACACAGAUGGUCAAGAAGAUAUUAAGGUAAUACUAUUUAAACAGUUUUAUUGCUAAGACCAUUAAAACACAUACAUGUAGUAAUUAGAUAUAUCAGAUAAAUUUAUUUUAGCAUGCUCAGUAUUCCAUGCUAGGUUGACUCCUUGCAGGUAUUGGGAUAUGUUUAGCUGUUCCUGUUCAUCAGGAUGCAAAUCUUCUUUCUAUUGUUUAAGUCUUCUCUGUGAAAAUCUCUUUGCAAUUAAAUAGUCAGGAUGUUUGAAGUUGUAGUACAUAAUCCAUGCAAAGUCCAUUUCUAGAAAUUCCAAUCGGAUAUCUGAUCUAUGUUUAAUGUGUAUUGAUUUAAUUUACACCUGAGUAAAGACAUUGACAUUUCUCAUAAUAAACCAUAAUAUCCAAUGUAUCUUGUUCAGUUCUAGAGAGUAUAAAACAUAUUCACUAAACUAAGAAUUGAAAGGAAUUCAAAUUAUAUUUUAAUUUUAAGACAAAACUAGCCAAACAGAAAGCAGAAUUGACUUGGAGAAUUUGCCUAUCUUUGCCUAUCUGAAUUUUGAAAUGCCCUUUGGAAUUCUUGGCAAUUUUCAGUUUUUAAAAUUAUCAAAUUAAAGCAGAUUGUCACUGACCAUUGUAUGAGUGUCCGCUUGUUAGUGAAUUAUAUAAUUUUGCAAGCAUAAGACUAUUUUACUUUGUUAGGUAAAUCAAAAUUGGAGUGCGCUUUUAGCCCUUUCCAAAUAUAUUUUAUUUUCUAUGUUUUUAGUUAAACAAAAAAUUGCAAACAGUAGAUAUAGAAAACUGAAUUGGAAAAACUGGUCUGAAAUAGCAAUGUUAAGAAAGAAGAGCUUCCAUGGUUCGGAUUUGUUCCAGCACAUCAAACAGACUCUCAAAUGGAUAGGGAUCUGGGGAAUUUGGAGGCCAAGGCAACACCUUUAACUCUUUGUCAUGUUCCUAAAACCAUUCCUGAACUCUUUUUGUAGUGUGGCAAGAUGACUUUUCCUGCAGAAAGCAACCACUGCUACCUGGGAAUACCAUUGACAUGAUUGGUGCACGUGGUCUCCAACAAUUUCUUGGUAGGUGGUCUGUGUGAAAAGAACAUUGCCCAAAAGGUAGAUCCCCAGAUGUUGUAGAACCACAACUCCCAUAAUGCUUUGCAUGUCUUUAGAAUGGCAAAAAAUCAUGGAAGCUGUAUUUUUAAAACAUUUAGGGAUCUGCCUUUAGGGCACCCCUGGCCUGGAGGAUAACACUGCCUUGUUCAUAGUGCACUCUGCUUCCAUCUUUUCCCCAGGUAAACAACACACACAUCUGGCCAUACAACUUAUCUAAAAGAAAACGUGAUUUGUCAGACCAGGCAACCUUCUUCCAUUGCUCAAUGAUCUAGUUCUGAUGCUCACGUCCCCAAAGACGGUACUUUAACCCCUUAAGGACCAAACUUCUGGAAUAAAAGGGAAUCAUGACAUGUCACACAUGUCAUGUGUCCUUAAGGGGUUAAAGGUGGACAGGAGUCAUCCAGGGCACUCAGACUGGUCUGCGACUACGCAGCACCACAUGCAGCAAACUGUGAUUCACUGUGUGUUCUGACACCUUUCUAUCAUGGCCAGCUUUAUGGUUUUAAGCAAUUUUAGCUACAGUAGCUCUUCUAUGUAAUUGAACUAAUGGGCUAGCCUCCACUCACCACGUACAUCAAUAACCCUGAUGCCAGUUCACCACUUGUCCUUCCUUGCAUCACUUUUGGUAGGUACCAGGAACACCUCACAAGACAUGUUAUUUUGGAGAUGGAAGGGAUCCUGCUUUCAGUACAUGAAAUAAGAGAACUGACUGUUAACUUGCUGCCUGAUAUAUCACACCCCUUGAACAGGUGCCUUGGUAACAAUAUAAUCAGUUAUUCACUUCACCUGUCAGUGGUUUUAAUGUUG